GACGAACGCUGGCGGCGUGCUUAACACAUGCAAGUCGAACGGUGAAGGGACCAGCUUGCUGGUUCUGGAUGAGUGGCGAACGGGUGAGUAACACGUGAGUAACCUGCCCCCUUCUUCUGGAUAACCGCAUGAAAGUGUGGCUAAUACGGGAUAUUCUGGUUCUGUCGCAUGGCGGGCCCGGGAAAGAUAUUGCUUCGGUGGGGGAUGGGCUCGCGGCCUAUCAGCUUGUUGGUGGGGUGAUGGCCUACCAAGGCGGUGACGGGUAGCCGGCCUGAGAGGGUGGACGGUCACACUGGGACUGAGACACGGCCCAGACUCCUACGGGAGGCAGCAGUGGGGAAUAUUGCACAAGGGGGGCAAGCCUGAUGCAGCGACGCCGCGUGAGGGAGGGAGGCCUUCGGGUUGUAAACCUCUUUCGCCAGUGAAGCAGGCCUGCUCCGUGUGGGUGGGUUGACGGUAGCUGGAUAAGAAGCGCCGGCUAACUACGUG
rnacentral:rRNA from 1 species